rnacentral:misc_RNA from 1 species
GAAAUGCGAUAAGUAAUGUGCAUUGCAGAAUUCAGUGAAUCAUCGAAUCUUUGAACGCACAUUGCGCCCGCCAGUAUUCUGGCGGGCAUGCCUGUCCGAGCGUCAUUUCAACCAUCAAGCCCCCGGGCUUGUGUUGGGGACCUGCGGCUGCCCGCAGGCCCUGAAAACCAGUGGCGGGCUCGCUGUCACACCGAGCGUAGUAGCAAUCACCUCGCUCAGGGCGUGCUGCGGGUUCCGGCCGUUAAACAGCCUUACAAAACCCAAGGUUGACCUCGGAUCAGGUAGGAAGACCCGCUGAACUUAAGC